UACGAAGGGGGCUAGCGUUGCUCGGAAUCACUGGGCUUAAAGAGUCCGUAGGCGGCAUGUUAGGUGAGGUGUGAAAUCCCCCGGCUCAACCGAGGAAUUGCGCUUCAAACCGGCGUGCUCGAGGAAGAUAGAGGUGGGCGGAACUGAUGGUGGAGCGGUGAAAUGCGUUGAUAUCAUCAGGAACACCGGAGGCGAAAGCGGCCCACUGGGUCUUUUCUGACGCUGAGGGACGAAAGCUAGGGGAGCGAACGGG
rnacentral:rRNA from 1 species